GGAGAAUGGAAAGUACUCAAUCAGGAAUGACCUGUUUAGUUAGGGGCUUUAAGCAUGGGAAUCCUGCUGCCAGAAACCAAUAAUGGUUCUUCACUACACAAAACCCUCCUUGUAGGUAAUUGCAACUAUUGAAUUUCCUUACUUGGAAAGGGACAAGAGUUAUAUUUUACAUCUGCACACAAAUAGUAUUUUUUAAGGAUAUUGGAAUCCCAUAUAGUUCUCCUGCAUUUCAGCACAGGGAACCUCCAUCCCAUUCCUGCAGUUGUAACAAGACUGGUUGUCAGACCAACACCAGUAAAGAAUGACCAGGCAAUACUCUUUGAAAAUUGGAGACCAUUUGCAGCUGCUCUCUGCUGAGGAAAGUGAAUAAUAGGGUGCCCUCAAGGAAUUUCAAAGAGAACAGGAUGAGAUGACAGCUUUUCUCAUGGCCCUGUUAAUAGUUUUUGCUAACAAGGAAAGGGGAAGGGAAUAAUUCUUUGCAAUAAUAUUGACUUCUGUGAUCUUGGAACAUCUAAAGACUGAAGACAAUGACCUGAAAUGAACCUGUGUAUGAAAAAGAACACAGUGAUGGAGAUUUCUCUAAGUGCAUCAUGUUUUCUUGGCCACAAUAACCCAGAUGAGCUAAUGGAGCUGGAAUGAGAAGAAGAGAGGUUUUUCUGAUGGUGAUGAAGGCAUCAAAGUCUGCUCCAAGGCUACCUCCCUUUCAGGGCUCUAAUGCAACUCACCAUUGAAUGAAAAUAAUUUCAGGAACAAUUAGACAAAAGAAGCAAGAGUGAACAAGUUGAAUGUGAAAUCAGUGCUGCUGUAGAGUAUAAAGAACCAAUGACUGAAUAAAUCUACUUUGAAACACACCCUGGUAAUUUACAAUUCUAUCAAACAAUCUGCCAUCUUCUCAUUUUGAAUUACUGGCAUUUAUGAUGACUCCACCAUGUGUUUUUCCUUCCGAUUUUAACUCCUCUUUUAAAAACACAAGUUUGUGUCUGCCCAGACAAGUAUGAACAUUCUCAGCAUGGAAUAUGCAAUGAAGAAUUAAUUGUUUGGUGGUUGGUUGUUUUUUCUACCCCGUGAAAAGUUUUGCCAUCCCAGCAAUAUCUUCUACAGUUUUCUAACAGUGUGCUUUCAGCCCUAUGAUUUUCAUGUACCAUUUCUUUUUAUUCAGUGGUUGUGCCACUUUCAGUAGUGCUGGAUGAAUGCUUCAGAAAGCUGUCUGCAAAUAUUCACUCCAACUUUUAAAUAAACUAAUUUCAACUGUGU
rnacentral:lncRNA from 7 species